rnacentral:rRNA from 1 species
GGGUGAGUAAUGUAUGGGGAUCUGCCCGAUAGAGGGGGAUAACUACUGGAAACGGUGGCUAAUACCGCAUGACGUCUACGGACCAAAGCAGGGGCUCUUCGGACCUUGCGCUAUCGGAUGAACCCAUAUGGGAUUAGCUAGUAGGUGAGGUAAAGGCUCACCUAGGCGACGAUCUCUAGCUGGUCUGAGAGGAUGAUCAGCCACACUGGGACUGAGACAC